rnacentral:rRNA from 1 species
AAACUAACAAGGAUUUCCCUAGUAGUGGCGAACGACCGGGAAUUAGCCCAACACUGAAUCCUGUACUUUAACCGGUAUUGGGAAUUGUAGUGUAAAGGUUGAGUCUUUGACUAUCGAGUCUGCUUCAAAUUCACUUGACUGUGAUUUUUGUCCAUAGAGGGUGCUAGGCCCGUUGGAGUAGAUAAAGUGGUUAUUGAUUCUUCCUAUGAGUCGGAUUGUUUGAGAAUGCAGUCCAAAUUGGGUGGUAAACUCCAUCUAAGGCUAAAUACUUGUGUGAGUCCGAUAGCAAACAAGUACCGUGAGGGAAAGUUGAAAAGAACUUUGAAGAGAGAGUUAAAUAGUACGUGAAAUUGCUUAGAGGUAAACGAAUGGAGCCGAAGUGACUGUAUGGGAUUCAGUCUGUUGUUUUCUUGAUCUUUUCGGUUGUAAAUCUGUCCAAUGAUUAUCGAUUGUUUAGCUUCUCGAGGGCGAUGGAUGCACUUUCUGUAUUAGUCGUACCGUGACCGAUAGUGCAGUCAUUCUGUCGUGAUGUUGAAGGUGAUCUUUUGCUUGCAAUUGGUUUUAUAGCUCAUUACAUGGUUUGAUUGGUGUAUUGGUGAUAGCGAUCUGCUAACGUUGGCGGAAUUUAAUGUUUUUUGCAUUGCUUUAGACUUGUUACAAGGCUUUAGUGGUGUCAUUGAUGUUUUGUUUUGUUGACAAGUAUUUCUAAAGUCUACGGUGUAUAUGUAGGUUAUCUAUUUGUCCCGUCUUGAAACACGGACCAAGGAGUUUUAUAUUAUCGCGAGUCAAAGGGCUCUACGAAACCCCACGGCGUAAUUAAUGUAAAGGUGGAUUUAUUCACUGUGAUGUGACGUCGUGAUAGCAAUAUUACAGACAGCAACAUCGACCCGUCUAAAGGUGUUCGCAUCUGGGCGGAGUUUGAGCGAUAAUGUAGAGACCCGAAAGAUGGUGAACUAUGCUUGUGCAGGUUGAAGUCAGAGGAAACUCUGAUGGAGGAUCGCAGCGGUUCUGACGUGCAAAUCGAUCGUCGGACAUGAGUAUAGGGGCGAAAGACUAAUCGAACCAUCUAGUAGCUGGUUCCCUCCGAAGUUUCCCUCAGGAUAGCUGGCAUUUACUUGUGUAGUUUUACCUGGUAAAGCGAAUGAUUAGAAGUAUUGGGGGCGAAAUGCCUUCAACUUAUUCUCAAACUUUAAAUGGGUGCGAAGUGUGACUCUCUUCAUUGGAGUCAUACAUUGAAUACAAAUGCCUAGUGGGCCAUUUUUGGUAAGCAGAACUGGCGAUGUGGGAUGAACCAAACAUCUGGUUAAGGUGCCAAAGUUUACGCUCAUGAGAAACCACAAAAGGUGUUGGUUGAUUAAGACAGCAGGACGGUGGACAUGGAAGUCGUCAUCCGCUAAGGAGUGUGUAACAACUCACCUGCCGAAUCAACCAGCCCUGAAAAUGGAUGGCGCUGUAGCGUAACACCUAUACCGGAUCGAUAUCGUAAGUAUAUAGACGAGUAAGACGGUAUCGUGUAGGAGGGUGCCGUGGUUGCUAAGAACGCUACUGGGCGUGAGUCAGAGUGGAGCGGCCACGGGUACAGAUCUUGGUAGUAGUAGCAAUUAUUCAAGUGAGAACCUUGAAG